UCAGUGAGUAGUUUAAUAUAAAAUUUAGGUUUUGGAGGCUUAGGAUAUUUUUAUCUUACUGA
rnacentral:tRNA from 1 species